AAGUCGUAACAAGGUUUCCGUAGGUGAACCUGCGGAAGGAUCAUUAAUGAGUUUGGGGGCCUAGCCCCAGCGGUGGGUGUCUGUUCGAGUCCGUCAGGGCUCGGCCAGCGCUCGUCGUGUAUCUCAACCCCAUGUUUACCUUACCUUUGUUGCUUUGGCGGGCCUUGAGUAGGCUAUACGGCUCAUGCCGGCCCCCAGCGUUUUCUUGCUGGGGGGCGGCUCGCGCCCGCCGGAGGUUCAACCAAAUUCUGUUUAUUAGUGAAGUCCGAGUCAAAAUUAAAUAAUCAAAACUUUCAACAACGGAUCUCUUGGUUCUGGCAUCGAUGAAGAACGCAGCGAAAUGCGAUAAGUAAUGUGAAUUGCAGAAUUCAGUGAAUCAUCGAAUCUUUGAACGCACAUUGCGCCCCUCGGCAUUCCGGGGGGCAUGCCUGUUCGAGCGUCAUUACACCCCUCAAGCGUAGCUUGGUAUUGGACGUUCGCGGGCCCCCUUUGGGGGCCUGCGCGUCCGAAAAACAGUGGCGGUCCCCGGGGAUUUCGCGCGUAGUAAAUAUUCUCCCGCGUUGGAAAGAACCGAUGGGCCCUGCCAAAACCUCCCAUAAAUCUCCAUGAUUGACCUCGGAUCAGGUAGGGAUACCCGCUGAACUUAA
rnacentral:rRNA from 1 species